GGUGAGUAACACGUGGGCAACCUGCCUGUAAGACCGUGAUAACUUCGGGAAACCGGAGCUAAUACCGGAUAAUAUAAGGAACCUCCUGGUUCUUUAUUGAAAGAUGGUUUCGGCUAUCACUUACAGAUGGGCCCGCGGCGCAUUAGCUAGUUGGUGAGGUAAUGGCUCACCAAGGCGACGAUGCGUAGCCGACCUGAGAGGGUGAUCGGCCACACUGGGACUGAGACACGGCCCAGACUCCUACGGGAGGCAGCAGUAGGGAAUCUUCCACAAUGGACGAAAGUCUGAUGGAGCAACGCCGCGUGAGCGAUGAAGGCCUUCGGGUCGUAAAGCUCUGUUGUUAGGGAAGAACAAGUGCGAGAGUAACUGCUCGCACCUUGACGGUACCUAACCAGAAAGCCACGGCUAACUACGUGCCAGCAGCCGCGGUAAUACGUAGGUGGCAAGCGUUGUCCGGAAUUAUUGGGCGUAAAGCGCGCGCAGGUGGUCCUUUAAGUCUGAUGUGAAAGCCCACGGCUCAACCGUGGAGGGUCAUUGGAAACUGGGGGACUUGAGUGC
rnacentral:rRNA from 1 species